GACAGCGCCGCGUUGUAGGGCUCCACCACAGUGUCCGACACUUUGGGCGAGGGCAUGACGCUGAAGGAGUUGAGGAUGCGGUCCGGGUACUCCUCGCGGAUCUUGUUCAUG
ensembl:miRNA